GACGAACGCUGGCGGCGUGCCUAAUACAUGCAAGUAGAACGCACAGUUUAUACCGUAGCUUGCUACACCAUAAACUGUGGGUUGCGAACGGGUGAGUAACGCGUAGGUAACCUGCCUGGUAGCGGGGGAUAACUAUUGGAAACGAUAGCUAAUACCGCAUAAUAUUGAUUAUUGCAUGAUAAUUGAUUGAAAGAUGCUAUUGCAUCACUACCAGAUGGACCUGCGUUGUAUUAGCUAGUAGGUGAGGUAACGGCUCACCUAGGCGACGAUACAUAGCCGACCUGAGAGGGUGAUCGGCCACACUGGGACUGAGACACGGCCCAGACUCCUACGGGAGGCAGCAGUAGGGAAUCUUCGGCAAUGGACGAAAGUCUGACCGAGCAACGCCGCGUUAGUGAAGAAGGUUGUCGGAUCGUAAAGCUCGGUUGUAAGAGAAGAACGGGUGUGAGAGUGGAAAGUUCACACUGUGACGGUAGCUGACCAGAAAGGGACGGCUAACUACGUG
rnacentral:rRNA from 1 species